rnacentral:rRNA from 1 species
AGUGAACGCUGGCGGUAGGCCUAACACAUGCAAGUCGAACGGCAGCACAGUAAGAGCUUGCUCUUACGGGUGGCGAGUGGCGGACGGGUGAGGAAUACAUCGUAAUCUACUUUUUCGUGGGGGAUAACGUAGGGAAACUUACUCUAAUACCGCAUACGACCUACGGGUGAAAGCAGGGGAUCUUCGGACCUUGCGCGAUUGAAGGAGCCGAUGUCGGAUUAGCUAGUUGGCGGGGUAAAGGCCCACCAAGGCGACGAUCCGUAGCUGGUCUGAGAGGAUGAUCAGCCACACUGGAACUGAGACACGGUCCAGACUCCUACGGGAGGCAGCAGUGGGGAAUAUUGGACAAUGGGCGCAAGCCUGAUCCAGCCAUACCGCGUGGGUGAAGAAGGCCUUCGGGUUUUAAAGCCCUUUUGUUGGGAAAGAAAAGCAGCAGGUUAAUACCCCGCUGUUCUGACGGUACCCAAAGAAUAAGCACCGGCUAACUUCGUG